rnacentral:misc_RNA from 1 species
UCUCCGUAGGUGAACCAGCGGAGGGAUCAUUCCCAAUAUGUGAUUUAUGGAACUUUUUAGACAAUCCAUAUACACCCUGUGUGCAACGUUAUGAGACCCUCUAUCGCUAUCUUGUAGGUUACGGAAGGGCGAACCUCGACACCUUAUGUACAUCGCCUUUAACUUAUUUAUCUGAACAUUUGUUAUCACGAAAUAACUUAAUUCGAAAUUACAACUUUCAACAACGGAUCUCUUGGCUCUG